rnacentral:lncRNA from 1 species
GAAUUUCUCUGAACAUAGUGGUCUUGAAACAAUAUAUAUAUAUAUAAAUAGAGGAAAGUGGUUUUAUUUUCAGUCUGCACAGAAGCAAGUGGAGGCAAGGCUACAUUUGCAAAGCAAUUGAAUCAUCCAGUGGAAGAAUGGGAUGAAAUUGUUGCUAGACAGGAUGCCUUACGUUUGAGUUCAGAGGGUGCUAAUGAUGGACAGGAUGGAUGGAGGAGGUGACUCUGCCAGUGCAUGGCCAUUAAUGUGCAGUGUGACCCAGGACAGCACAGACUGCAGGAGGUGCUUCACCUGUGGUUUUCCUUGUGAAUGUGCUUUUAAUGUUCACGGGCUUGUUGCAGUGCUGCCAACAGUGUUAAAAAUAACAGAGCAAGACUGA